UACAGAGGGUGCAAGCGUUGUUCGGAAUCACUGGGCGUAAAGCGCGUGUAGGCGGUUUCCUAAGUCAGGUGUGAAAUCCCCCGGCUUAACCGGGGAAGUGCGCCUGAAACUGGGAGGCUUGAGUACCGGAGAGGAAAGGGGAAUUCCCGGUGUAGAGGUGAAAUUCGUAGAUAUUAGGAAGAACACCGGUGGCGAAGGCGGCCCACUGGUCCGGUACUGACGCUGAGGUGCGAAAGCGUGGGGAGCAAACAGG
rnacentral:rRNA from 1 species